UACAGAUGAAGAGGCUAAAACUCUAAGGAGAGCCCAAGGCAUCUCAGGCAGGAAACUCAUUUAUUUCACUUCUAACUCUAAAGCCAGCAGAUCACAAAUUAUUAUUUGGCACCUGCUGGGUGCAGGGGACUGUGCUGGAUUUUGAAGGAAUGAAGAGAAGGACUUCAGCCUGAAGUUGUCCUCCUCUAGGGUUCGGGCUGUCAGGUCAGGGAUCUGUCUGUUUGUCUGCCUGUCUUCUGCAGGGCAUGUCUUCCCCUGUACAAGAGGACUCCAGCUCUAGCAGAUGAAAGUUCUUGGUUUGAGGUCUGAGGAUUGGUCUCACGGCCUCUGUAAGCUGCUUGAUUCUGCACACAUCUCUUGCUCUCUCUGCUCGGAUGGAGGCACUCUUACUAGCCCAAGACAAGGAGGGAGAGAAAAAUCGAAGAUACCAGAAGCCCAGCUUACGUAGAAGCAAAUUCCUGCCCCCAUCAAAUGGAUGGCUGCCACCUGCUGUCCUGUCCCCAGCAACCAGUCCAAUGUCACCCCAGACAUUUAGGACAUGCCACUUCCCCAUCCCCAGCAAGGAUGGCAAGCAGGCAGGGGAACUUGGCAAGCUGAAAGAGGCUGUGUGUCCAGCCCCAUGUUCCUCUCCACCCCCCCCCCCCCGCCCUGUUAUCUGCUUGGCUCCGGGGUUGGGAACCCACACCAGGGAUUUUGGCCCAUUCCAGGGGACACUGCUUUGGGAAGAGGAUCCAGCAUGGAUAUCUGGAACUUGAAGCACCUGACCACAUGCCUAUGCUCUCCAGAGACUGGAGCUCAGGAAAUCGGACCGGACAACGUGGAGAAUUCUACAGGUAAAAAGUGUGAGGAAUUCGCUGAUGGCGUUCAGCCCUCUCAUUUCACAGAUAAAGAGACUGAGGUUCAGAGAGGCUGUAGCCACUCAGAUUAGAGACACGCUAAAGUCAGGCUCCAGGCCCGCGGCUUACUCUUCUGCUCCAGCCUGCCCACAGCCAUUGCCCAACGGCUCACCAAAGCUAGGUUCAUGAAGAACCACCUGGGCAGCUUGUUGAAACUAGGAACCUGGUGAUCCGGGGACGCCUGAGUGACUCAGUCGUUCAGUGUCUGCCUUUGGCUUAGGUUGUGUUCCCGGGGUCCUCAUGCAGGAUGGAGUCCUGCAUGAGGAUCCCCUGCAGGGAGCCUGUUUCUCCCUCUGUCUAUGUCUCUGCCUCUCUCUGUGUGUCUCUCAUGAAUAAAUUUAAAAUUUUAAAAAAAGGAACCUGGUGA
rnacentral:lncRNA from 12 species